rnacentral:rRNA from 1 species
GACGAACGCUGGCGGCGUGCCUAAUACAUGCAAGUAGAACGCUGAAGGAAGGAGCUUGCUCUUUCUGGAUGAGUUGCGAACGGGUGAGUAACGCGUAGGUAACCUGCCUGGUAGCGGGGGAUAACUAUUGGAAACGAUAGCUAAUACCGCAUAAAAUUGAUUAUUGCAUGAUAGUCAAUUAAAAGGUGCAACUGCACCACUACCAGAUGGACCUGCGUUGUAUUAGCUAGUUGGUGGGGUAACGGCUCACCAAGGCGACGAUACAUAGCCGACCUGAGAGGGUGAUCGGCCACACUGGGACUGAGACACGGCCCAGACUCCUACGGGAGGCAGCAGUAGGGAAUCUUCGGCAAUGGACGGAAGUCUGACCGAGCAACGCCGCGUGAGUGAAGAAGGUUUUCGGAUCGUAAAGCUCUGUUGUAAGAGAAGAACGAGUGUGAGAGUGGAAAGUUCACACUGUGACGGUAGCCUACCAGAAAGGGACGGCUAACUACGUG